rnacentral:piRNA from 1 species
UUCCAAAGCCUGCACAGGACACGUUUUUUA